rnacentral:ncRNA from 1 species
GAGGUAGAGGCGCGAUAUUUAUUAGUUCUUGGCGGAGUUAGAGAGAGCGGUGAAACCGGGAAGAAGGAAAUGUUGCCGAAGUUUGUAAUAGAUCUCGAUAUUACAUGCUGGGCUUGCAAUGAAUAAUUGUAAGACUGUCUCAAUAAGCU